AAAAAAUAAAAGUUCUUGUAGGGCACCCAGAAACAGUGACCACCAGUUCAGCACAGUAUUGCACACACACAGCAGUAUUGCACACACACAGUAUUACACACACACAGUAUUGCACACAUACAGUAUUGCACACAUACAGUAUUGCACACACACAGCAGUAUUCCACACACACAGCAGUAUUCCACACACACAGCAGUAUUCCACACACACAGCAGUAUUGCACACACACAGUAUUGCACACAUACAAUAUUCCACACACACAGCAGUAUUCCACACACACAGUAUUCCACACACACACAGUAUUCCACACACACAGCAGUAUUCCACACACACAGCAGUAUUACACACACAGCAGUAUUCCACACACACAAUAUUGCACACACACAGUAUUGCACACACACAGUAUGCCACACACUCAGUAUUACACACACAUAGUAUUGCGCACAUACAGUAUUGCACACACACAGUAUUCCACAACACAGCAGUAUUCCACAACACAGCAGUAUUGCACAUACACAGUAUUGCACACACACAGUAUUGCACACACACAGUAUUCCACAACACAGCAGUAUUGCACACACACAGUAUUGCACACACAGAGUAUUGCACACACACAGUAUUGCACACACACAGUAUUCCACACACACAGUAUUCCACAACACAGCAGUAUUGCACACACACAGUAUUCCACACACACAGUAUUGCACACACACAGUAUUCUGUUUCUCCUGUGCAGUUGGACAAUGGGGGCGAUCGUGACUAACACUGCUAUAAUAUUAACGGACAAGCUGCUACUUGGAGGCAACUUCUUUCACUCCUGGGUGUGUUCCGAGCAGCAGCAUUGCUCACUUCCUUGGUACCCCCAUGUUUAAGCUCUUGAAGACCGGAAGACUCACUUUCUAAAGCUGGUGUGCCAUCUUACUCUUCCCACCCCACCCCCGACUCCCAGCAGUGCGAGUGCAAGAUGGUCCCCACUGCCCACUGUCUCUGCCUGGUUUCUUUUGUCUUUGCAUGGAUAAAUCACAGGCUAGGUAGCACAACUGAACAGACUUUCCCUCUCCCAUGGCAACAUCCCCAUCUAAUGCAAUCUGUUUCUUUGGCUUAAGGCUAUAUCACUCUAAUUUCUGCCUUUGUUUAUUGCCACCCCCCGAGUGUGUGUGUGUGUGUGUGUGUGUGUGUGUGUGUGUGUGUGUGUGUGUGUGGUGUACACUUGUAACCUUAGCAAUAGGAAGGCAGAGAGGCAAGAAGGUUGAGGUCUGAGGUCAGCCUGGGCAGCAUAGCCAGAGGCUGUCAGAACUGAAACAAGUGAGGCACAUGGCACGUGCUUCUUUCUCAGGACGGCACAGGCAAUUACAUCUGAAAAGCAGCCAGAUGAUUCAGGAUAAGCUUCUCGCCUCCAUGCACCUUUUGCCAUAUAAGGUAACACACAGGUUGUGAGAUUCGGAGUGGAGUGGAAUCACAUCGUGGUUUUGAACGAUGCUGGUCCCUUCCCGUGGGGAAAUUGUGCACACAUCCUUUGUCCAGCUUUCAAGCCCCUUGUUCCUCAUCAUUGAUUUGUAAGUUCCUUAUACAGCAGUGAGAUCGGAGCGGAGGAUGAAACAGGAAGUGGCAGGAACCCACUCCUCGUCUGGAUGACGUCACAGCAGAAUCUGUCGGUUGUGACUGUCGUGAAUCCCUGGAGUCUGCUGGAAAGUUUGCAGUUUCCAGACCGAGGCUUGUGCUGCUCGGUUCCUCUGACACACUGUGGUAGGAGACUAGGGACCUGUAACUGUGUGAGUGUGGGUGUAUUUACCCGUGCAUGCGCAUGUGGAGGACAGAAAUUGAUGUUUCGUGUCUUCCUAUAUUCGGU
rnacentral:lncRNA from 1 species